rnacentral:rRNA from 1 species
AUUGAACGCUGGCGGCAGGCCUAACACAUGCAAGUCGAGCGAGCGGGGGACGGGGGUGGAAUGUCUGGGAAACUGCCUGAAGGAGGGGGAUAACAACAGGAAACGGUAGAGAAUACCGCAGAACAUAAGAGGUGCCCAGAUGGGAUGAGCUAGUAGGUGGGGUAACGGCUCACCUAGGCGACGAUCCCUAGCUGGUCUGAGAGGAGGACCAGCCACACUGGAACUGAUACACGGUCCAGACUCCUACGGGAGGCAGCAUUGGGGAAUAUUGCACAAUGGGCGCAAGCCUGAUGCAGCCAUGCCGCGUGUGUGAAGAAGGCCUUCGGGUUGUAAAGCACUUUCAGCGGGGAGGCGUUACCCGCAGAAGAAGCACCGGCUAACUCCGUGCCAGCAGCCGCGGUAAUUC